rnacentral:rRNA from 1 species
GAUGAACGCUAGCGGGAGGCUUAAUACAUGCAAGUCGAGGGAGAAAUUUGACUUCGGUCAAAUGGAAACCGGCGAACGGGUGAGUAACGCGUACACAACCUACCUUUAACUGGGGGAUAGCCUUGGGAAACUGAGAUUAAUACCCCAUAAUAUUGAUUGAUAGCAUUUGAAGUCAAUUAAAGCUCCGGCGGUUAAAGAUGGGUGUGCGUCCCAUUAGCUAGUUGGUGAGGUAACGGCUCACCAAGGCGACGAUGGGUAGGGGGCGUGAGAGCGUGGUCCCCCACACGGGUACUGAGACACGGACCCGACUCCUACGGGAGGCAGCAGUAAGGAAUAUUGGACAAUGGGCGCAAGCCUGAUCCAGCCAUCCCGCGUGCAGGAAGACGGCCCUACGGGUUGUAAACUGCUUUUGUUAAGGAAGAAACCCCUCGAGUUCUCGAGGGCUGACGGUACUUAAAGAAUAAGCACCGGCUAACUCCGUGCCAGCCGCCGCCGUAACAC